CCGUGACCUGCGAGCAAAAGUAAGCGCCGCGUUUUAUUCCGGUCACACGGGGCUCUCGGGUGUCAGAUGACCGGUCGUAUGACAGGUAAGCGCGCUGAAUGUGCAGAACGACACGGCCGCGGCGGGGUGCUCGACUGCUGACCGGCUACCGCAGAAGCGCGCGGCGUCUCGCGCGAUCGAGGAUGCAUCCUGACCUCCUGGCGAAGGGUAUCGCGCCGGCAGAGAACGAGGGACGAGGCGUGGAUUGAUCGUUACAUCGUUUUGCAAUUUUGCAUGCCCGGCCCCGGCCCCGGUCCUGUGCAGCGGGAACGGCUUACGGCCGACAGCGAGGGUUAUAUCGACGAUACGAAAGAUCGAUAGAGGUGGAUAAACAACUCGGCGAUACCGCGCGUUUCAAUCAAUUCGCGGAGCGGUUCGCCUCGCCGAAACGCGUUUACGAGACGUUUGUUUAUCGAGUCGAGACCAGAAUUGGACAUUAACAUAAAAUAAAAUGUAAUAAUCUACAUGCAAUAUAAAUUAACCUAUGGAUCA